UUUUUAAACAGCAUAUUAUUUUAUUAGUUUCUUAACUAAAACCAAGAAUGUAAGACCGUACAUAUUUUAAUACAGCGAUGUACCCCCUGUACAAGUAAAAGAAAAAAACAAACCAAUUACCCCCCACUCUGUCCUCCUACACAAGGUUCCUCAUCCUGUGUUCUGGUUAGGGGUAUACCCCUCCCCACUAGUGGAGCACACUACUGUACAUUUCUGAAGGACCCUUGUCACCAUGGUAAACCUGCGAUGAGAGUGGUGUAGGUUUGAGUGAGUGGAAGUGAGAUGAGACAGGAAUAAUCUCUCCUCAACACUAACACCUGUCCUUCUGCCCUGAAAUGCAGCAGAACUGCAGUCUGCAGUCAAACACAAAGCUAUUUCUAAUUUUGUUUUACUUCUCCCCCUUCCGUCUCCCUUUCCCUCUUGGUGAGGGUUAACAGAAAGCCACACUGAACUGUUUUGAACUCGUACUCACUCUCCCUUUCUGUUAGUAGCAGCAGGGUUGGUUUCCCUACAGGCAAGUGAGUGAGUGAACAGUAGUGAAGAGGUAUUCUAUCCUCCUCUCUCAAGGGGGAGGAGGAAAGCUCCCAGACUGAAUUCAGGGUCUGUCUGUCCAUUUACAGACAGCCCAUAAUAAAUCCCCUUCCACUCUGCUGCCAUAGCAACAGGGAUUCUCAAGGCUCUGUGAAAUCAUCUUUGCACGCUUAACCUUUGGCUAAAGAUUCAGGAGAAAACCGGGCAGUGGCCUCCCAUGUGCCCCACGCAAACACACACACAAACACCACCUUUAUCAUUCCGCUCAAAGAGAUGCGAGCGAGAGAAAAGGCAGACAAAUCAAUUAAACGGCUGCAUCUUACAUUUCCUUUCGAGACAAACCCUCAUUUCAUAGUUUCACUCUUUAGUGAAUAUUGGUGAAAGCGUUGAGCGUUUGUGUGUGUGGUGAUCGUACAAGCUUGUAUACAGUCACACAGCUCUGUGUGUGGUGAUCGUACAAGCAUGUAUACAGUCACACAGCUGUGUGUGUGGUGAUCGUACAAGCAUGUAUACAGUCACACAGCUGUGUGUGUGGUGAUCGUACAAGCUUGUAUACAGUCACACAGCUGUGUGUUAGCAAUGAUGGAUGGAAGACUGGCAGAGGAUUAGAACACGUCUGUGCUUCACUAAAAUACAUCUUUAACUAAGAUUGUUUCAUCCAACUACAAAAACAAGAUUGCUUGAUUAUCCUGUUAACAAAAAGAACAGCCCUGUCCUCCUAAUAACGGGAUUCUAUUGUGAAAAAGAAAGGAACAGAAAUCAUAGGGCUAUAAAAAUGGCAAACUGGCAAAUCUUUUUUCUCCAUUCAAUCUUUUUUUACCAUCCUAGUAGACAUUUGAAGUACAGCUUGCCGCCUUCCGCCCCGCCCAAAUUACAAGAGGCGGGGCUUAAAAAAAAAUAUCACACAGACCCCCAAUAGUGGAGGAGAAGAGAAGGGGAGAGAGAGAUGAGGUUGGAGCGCACACACACACAGUAGCCCCCUCAGUAACCAUUGACUAAUACACCCCCACCUCUCCUCUCUUUCUCCGCCUCUAACACCAGAGAGGGUGAUGUGUGAGCGAGUGAUUGCAUGAAUAUGUGGAGCAGCUGGAUCAUCUCUCUCCCAUCCAUCCAUCCGUGGAGAUGUGUGAGGCUCUACUUCCCCUCCUCUUGUUUGAUGGCCUGGGGCUUGAUGGGGCCGGUGCGGAUGGGUUUGCCCGCUGACAGGGAGGGUUUGUCGGGCUCAGGGCGCUCCACGACUCCCACCGUCUGGUGGUUGGGGGGCAGGAUGUCGAGGGGGGGUUUGCCACCCCCCUGGUCGAGACGAGAGGGUUUGGAGACUGACGGAGCCUUGAGCUGCUCUGAGAAGAACUUAUGAGUCGAUUGGAGCACCUCGGCUCGCUGCUUCGCCUG
ensembl:lncRNA